UGGGGAAUCUUGCGCAAUGGGCGAAAGCCUGACGCAGCGACGCCGCGUGAGGGAUGACGGCCUUCGGGUUGUAAACCUCUUUCAGCCCUGACGAAGCGAAAGUGACGGUAGGGGCAGAAGAAGCACCGGCCAACUACGUGCCAGCAGCCGCGGUAAUACGUAGGGUGCAAGCGUUGUCCGGAAUUAUUGGGCGUAAAGAGCUCGUAGGCGGUCUGUCGCGUCGGCUGUGAAAACUCGGAGCUCAACUCCGAGCUUGCAGUCGAUACGGGCAGGCUAGAGUUCGGCAGGGGAGACUGGAAUUCCUGGUGUAGCGGUGAAAUGCGCAGAUAUCAGGAGGAACACCGGUGGCGAAGGCGGGUCUCUGGGCCGAUACUGACGCUGAGGAGCGAAAGCGUGGGGAGCGAACAG
rnacentral:rRNA from 1 species